CGAUCGAGGUAAAUUUUAUACCCCCGACUCGUUUUUCCACGCUGAGUUCCCCUGUGGCCAAAUCGGAGCCAAAAUCCUGGCCAAACGACCGAAAAACACGGCCGAAACCCAGCGGCGCCGCCGCGCCCCUCCUCGAUUUUUGCCUCCGAUGAGGCCCUUCCCGGCCUCCGUUUGAUGCAAUUUUUAUAUCACCGUGAUCACCAUUCUUUUCUCUACAGGCUGAUCGGAGCCGAAUCACCAAAACACGAACCUCACC
rnacentral:lncRNA from 1 species